AUUUGGUGGUGGUCUGGGAGUCCCGAGAGAAAUCCCCGUGUAAAUUUUACUGCAUUUUGAUUGGUCUAUCUUAACAUUCCGUUGAUUCAUUCACGCGUAUCGUAUUUCCGGUCCUUGGCGAUGCGCUGCUCCCAGAUCAAGAAUUAUGUCACAUAUCUCUAGAUGUUGGUGAAUUUGGCCCGUUUACUURCCUURUUUGUUUAGAUUGRCGAUUUCUCUACUUUCUGGAGCCAUUUCUAGAAGUACAGCUUCGUACAGAUAGCUUUGGAGCGGGCUAGAGGCCGACAUCUGAGAAGAAAUUGAUCGUAUUUCUGUGACCGCCAGCGAUUUGGUUGUCGUCCGUCCCGAAGUCUAUUAGCGUGGUGUGAUUUCUUGGCGUAAGAGUACUUGAAAAGCUUUUUUAGGAGUUUGCACUUUGAAGUCAAAGACACGCUUCAAUUCACGAAAUAUAAAUCAAAAUGGCCAUGGAUUUGAAGGCUGUAAUUCUUGCAGUAACAAUAUGUAGUAGUUUUAUAGUACCAACACAUACACAAUCUCCRCAAUGUGCAACAAGAAGYUGUUAUCCAGCAACAGGAGACUUGUUGGUUGGACGUGAAAAAAAAUUAUAUGCGAGCUCAACGUGUGGUCUUAGAGGACCUGAGCGUUUCUGUAUGGUCUCAAAUCUGAAGGAACAAGAGGAAUGUUCUUAUUGUGAUUCAAGAAAUUAUACAAACCCUGCAUUCAGACAUCUACCAGAAUAUAUGCUGUCAAAUUUUGAUGGCGAUAACAGCCAGUGGUGGCAAUCAGAAAAUGGGAAAGAAGAGGUUUAU